AGCGAACGCUGGCGGCAGGCCUAACACAUGUAAGUCGAACGAAGUCUUCGGACUUAGUGGCGGACGGGUGAGUAACACGUGGGAACGUACCUUUUGGUUCGGAACAACUCAGGGAAACUUGAGCUAAUACCGGAUGAGCCCUUAGGGGGAAAGAUUUAUCGCCGAAAGAGCGGCCCGCGUUAGAUUAGCUAGUUGGUGAGGUAAAGGCUCACCAAGGCUACGAUCUAUAGCUGGUCUGAGAGGAUGAUCAGCCACACUGGGACUGAGACACGGCCCAGACUCCUACGGGAGGCAGCAGUGGGGAAUCUUGCGCAAUGGGCGAAAGCCUGACGCAGCCAUGCCGCGUGAAUGAUGAAGGCCUUAGGAUUGUAAAAUUCUUUUACCAGGGACGAUAAUGACGGUACCUGGAGAAAAAGCCCCGGCUAACUUCGUGCCAGCCGCCGCUGUAAAAC
rnacentral:rRNA from 1 species